GUACUCAUAUUGGUGCUCGCUGUGUAAGGUCUGCGGAUCCAAGAGAGAUUCAAGGGAAAGGGCAAUAAACACACAAGCUCGAAGGAAAAAAAAAACAAAAAGCCUUUAGGACCCAAUCCGUGCAUCUCAUAGAUUUAUUUGACAACGAUCCUCCAGCUGAUGCAUUCACAUGACUCUUAGAUGUCGGAUUAAGCCCAUCAAAGAAAAUAUUCAUCUGUGUAUCUGAAUCAAUAUUAACAUGUGGACACUUUAUGUACAUCUCUGUAUAUCUUUCCCAUGCUUCAUGAAACUCUUCAUUAGGCUUCUGUGUGAAUGUCAAAAUCUCCCUCUUGUAA